rnacentral:misc_RNA from 1 species
GUACCUGAUCUUGAAGACUUCCACUGCGUGUCCCUCUGUACAGCUUUGCAGGCUCCGGCCUCGGCAGCGGGGGGUUCAUAGUGGUCGUCGACCUCCACGAAACUGCACGCUCCGGCGUGACAGCGUACUGGGGAUGCCUGUGUUUACGCAGUCCGGGCUUGCCUGGACCGCCAGCAGAUGGGCUCUGUGGAUGACUGGCCGCUGGCUAGACCUGAAACCUGAGCAACGGGAGGUAACCUCUCGCCGCGGACACCGGAAUGGUAGAAGCGGCGUGCUGCGUCCUCCUCUUGGGGCCCCUAAGCCACACCUCCCACAGCGGGUUCGGUGCGGCGGACGGACGCCCUGGGGAAUUUAGAGGGGGAAAGCGGAUUGCCCUAGCGGUGUUGUUGGCCCUGCCGACCUCACUGCGAAAGGCGCGAC